UCCCGCUGCAUUUUGGUCUAAUUCCUACGACACCCGUGACAGAUUCAGCGAACGCAACAGCCAACUGGUGUAGUCCUUGUGUGCCCUUGACCCAGAGAGCCAUGACUUUCUAGAUGUGAAAGAGGUGAAAUCACUGCUGGAUCUAUGCAAAACAAAUUUGGUGGAAGCUGAGUUUAGUGUCGCUCGCCAGUUUUUGCAGACUGAAAUCGCCUGCUCCAAAUGGACCCCACUUGAUAUCCUGCAAUGAUUCUCUAGGCCUCUCUCUGCUAUGCUUACUACAUUGAAACAGCAUCUGACUGCAUGCUCUAAGCGGGGACGUGUGUGAUUGGCCAGCAUGUGCAUGCCAUGCAGAGUGAGAGAGCCCGCUUGUGAUUGGCCAGCAUCUUCUGUGCAUGUAGAGUGAAUGAAUGGACUUCAAGCGCCUCUCAUUGGGGUGCGCGCGGGUAUCGGUGUUCUCUAUGCUGUCCGUGGCCAUAAGAAGUAUACCAUUUAUUUUGCUUUAUUAUUUUCUAUCAAUAUU